GACGAACGCUGGCGGCGUGCUUAACACAUGCAAGUCGAACGGAAAGGCCCUGCUUUUGUGGGGUGCUCGAGUGGCGAACGGGUGAGUAACACGUGAGUAACCUGCCCUUGACUUUGGGAUAACUUCAGGAAACUGGGGCUAAUACCGGAUAGGAGCUCCUGCUGCAUGGUGGGGGUUGGAAAGUUUCGGCGGUUGGGGAUGGACUCGCGGCUUAUCAGCUUGUUGGUGGGGUAGUGGCUUACCAAGGCUUUGACGGGUAGCCGGCCUGAGAGGGUGACCGGCCACAUUGGGACUGAGAUACGGCCCAGACUCCUACGGGAGGCAGCAGUGGGGAAUAUUGCACAAUGGGCGGAAGCCUGAUGCAGCAACGCCGCGUGCGGGAUGACGGCCUUCGGGUUGUAAACCGCUUUCGCCUGUGACGAAGCGUGAGUGACGGUAAUGGGUAAAGAAGCACCGGCUAACUACGUGCCAGCAGCCGCGGUGAUACGUAGGGUGCGAGCGUUGUCCGGAUUUAUUGGGCGUAAAGGGCUCGUAGGUGGUUGAUCGCGUCGGAAGUGUAAUCUUGGGGCUUAACCCUGAGCGUGCUUUCGAUACGGGUUGACUUGAGGAAAGGUAGGGGAGAAUGGAAUUCCUGGUGGAGCGGUGGAAUGCGCAGAUAUCAGGAGGAACACCAGUGGCGAAGGCGGUUCUCUGGGCCUUUCCUGACGCUGAGGAGCGAAAGCGUGGGGAGCGAACAGGCUUAGAUACCCUGGUAGUCCACGCUGUAAACGGUGGGUACUAGGUGUGGGGUCCAUUCCACGGGUUCCGUGCCGUAGCUAACGCUUUAAGUACCCCGCCUGGGGAGUACGGCCGCAAGGCUAAAACUCAAAGGAAUUGACGGGGCCCCGCACAAGCGGCGGAGCAUGCGGAUUAAUUCGAUGCAACGCGUAGAACCUUACCUGGGUUUGACAUGGAUCGGGAGCGCUCAGAGAUGGGUGUGCCUCUUUUGGGGUCGGUUCACAGGUGGUGCAUGGCUGUCGUCAGCUCGUGUCGUGAGAUGUUGGGUUAAGUCCCGCAACGAGCGCAACCCUUGUUCACUGUUGCCAGCACGUUAUGGUGGGGACUCAGUGGAGACCGCCGGGGUCAACUCGGAGGAAGGUGGGGAUGACGUCAAGUCAUCAUGCCCCUUAUGUCCAGGGCUUCACGCAUGCUACAAUGGCUGGUACAGAGAGUGGCGAGCCUGUGAGGGUGAGCGAAUCUCGGAAAGCCGGUCUCAGUUCGGAUUGGGGUCUGCAACUCGACCUCAUGAAGUCGGAGUCGCUAGUAAUCGCAGAUCAGCAACGCUGCGGUGAAUACGUUCCCGGG
rnacentral:rRNA from 1 species